rnacentral:rRNA from 1 species
GGACGAACGGCUGGCGGCGUGCCUAACACAUGCAAGUCGAGCGAGGAGAUUCCUUCGGGAUGAUCCUAGCGGCGGACGGGUGAGUAACACGUGGGCAACCUGCCUCAUAGAGAGGAAUAGCCUUCCGAAAGGGAGAUUAAUACCUCAUAACAUUGCAGUUUCGCAUGGAACAGCAAUUAAAGGAGUAAUCCGCUAUGAGAUGGGCCCGCGGCGCAUUAGCUAGUUGGUGAGGUAACGGCUCACCAAGGCGACGAUGCGUAGCCGACCUGAGAGGGUGAUCGGCCACAUUGGGACUGAGACACGGCCCAGACUCCUACGGGAGGCAGCAGUGGGGAAUAUUGCACAAUGGGGGAAACCCUGAUGCAAGCAACGCCGCGUGAGUGAUGACGGCCUUCGGGUUGUAAAGCUCUGUCUUCAGGGACGAUAAUGACGGUACCUGAGGAGGAAGCCACGGCUAACUACGUGCCAGCCGCAGC